GGAACUGGCGGGCAGGCAGCGGAUCUGGAAGAAAAGAGGUUGGAGCCGGAUGGGACGGCGUGUUCGCCGCAGACAUCAUGGCAUUACGAGUUUGGCAGUUUGAUUUAUUCACCCAUUCCCAGAUCCCUCGCCGCUCCUCUCCAAGGUUUGGAGGAGACCGCCAAUUGGUACUGCUGAUCCAUCGUGGCUGAGGCAAGGAGGCUAGGGAACAGUUGCUUCUGCAGGUGAGGGGCGUGCUCGAACAUGGAGGCAUGCGCAAUGGAGUCGAAGCUUUCCUAGGAGACGCAAAGGUUUGGAGCAGACCGUCAAUUGGUACUGCUGAUCGAUCAGGAGGUGAAUUCCCACUGUUCACGAAGGGGGCCCAUCACGUUCCUGAUGUAAUCUUCACAACCCAAUGCAGGAUCUUGGUUUCUAUGUCACGAAGAACCUAUUAUUUUCCAGGGUUCUAAAUUCUACGUGAUAAACUAGCAAAUGUUUGUUCAGUGGUGUGUUUGUAGAUGGUUUCUUCGGCCACCACCUUGCAAGAAAGGUAGCAGAAGGCUAUGAGAAAACCGUAACUUUUGAUGAUUUGCAUAGUGUUCUUCUUCAGUUGUUGGUCGGAAGCCACUUCUCAUAAAAAAUACAGAAAGUUCACUUGGUAUUUAGUUUAUAAAGGGACUCUACAAUUUUCUUAAUCAUGCACAGCAAUAUCACGUCUUUGUAUGUCUAUGUAUUAAUUCGCUGAUUUCAACACAUGGGGCAUUGAGUCUAUGGGAAAGACAUCUUUCUUGCAAAAAUGCAGAAUAAUCAUUCGGUUGUUCAUCCCAAGUAAGCAGGGGAGUGCUCCCCUGCGACGCUGCACCUUGGCCACGCUUCGACGAUUCGUACGACGGUGUGGUAAUGAGUGGAGUUGAUAAACAGAGAUAGGAGGAGCAGGAGGGGAGUCGUGGCGGGUCACGAGGCGGGGCUCCCGAUCCAAUCGGGAGCAGGACGACGACGAGCACAGGAAGGCUGCCAUGGCCAUGUUCUUCUUCCUGUCCCCACCAGCCGUGAGAGGAGGAGCAGUAGGGGAGCCGCGGCGGGCCUCCUCCAUCCCAGUCUACCAAGGGAGAGCCCGGACAGGAUUGGACUUCGCUCCUAUAAGAAGGAAGGGUCCUCGACCGUAUCUUCCAUCAGGUUAUGUGCUUGGACCUGUAUAUCUUUCAAAUCCGGGACUACUUGGACCAGAAAACAUCAUGACGCUUCGAGUUCGCUGGAGGAAGAAGAACAUUCGGCAAACCGUUCAAUAUCACCACGUAGAGCAGAAGUUUUGGAUUGGAUAGGGAGCCUCUUUCGGAGUGAACCACAUCAUAAUGCAUCCUACAUAGCUGCCAUGGAUGAAUUACGUGCUCUGGUGGUGGCUGGCCAGUCACUCCCUCCAAAUCAUGUAGCUGUGUACGGGUUUGAUGGACGCGUGCGCCGACUCAGAUAGACGGACUCCACGAUCACCAUGAGGUGGGGAGAGCAAGGAGGUUGCUGAUUUUUCGGGAAGCGGUGGCGAUCUGACAUGGAUUACGUGGGAUGAGAAAGAUCAAGCUCGACAAGAAGUUGUGAAUGUGAGGACAGGAGAGGAAGGUGUAGAUGACGGUGCGGGGGUGUGCUUGCUGCUGGUUAGGCUUUUGUGUUUCAUAGAAAAGAGAUAGUGUACAGGUCAAACUAAGCUUAUUUCUAGGAGCCCACGAGCAGAAAGAGAUGGCUACUUUCAUGGACAUUGAAGGUCUGCAUGCUUCACGGCCGUAUCUUGAUUCCACACAACAUUAAGGAAGUUCUCCAAUGCUGGAAUAAAGCUCAAUGCACCAAGAACAACAUCAGUUGAAGUAACAUUUCCUAUAUAUUGUAUUCUGAGCAUUGGAUUGAGCUCAUGUGUGAAGCUUAUGUAUUGUUUACUUUGUAAAAUGUGUGAUAAUGACGUGUCAGACUUAUGGAUUGUGGAGACCAAAUUUAUGUGACAUUUUUGGAAUGUGAGACCUGAUUAAAUGUGGGUCAGAUUAUUUGGUUUUUGAGCA